rnacentral:rRNA from 1 species
UACGUAGGGUGCGAGCGUUGUCCGGAAUUAUUGGGCGUAAAGAGCGCGCAGGCGGCUGGUCAAGUCCGAUGUGAAAGCUCCCGGCUUAACUGGGAAAUUGCAUCGGAAACUGAUCGGCUGGAAGGUGGGAGAGGGUAGCGGAAUUCCCGGUGUAGUGGUGAAAUGCGUAGAUAUCGGGAGGAACACCAACGGCGAAGGCAGCUCGCUGGGACGGUACUGACGCUGAGGCACGAAAGCGUGGGGAGCAAACAGG